GAUGAAGAACGUAGUGAAAUGCGAUAAGUAAUGUGAAUUGCAGAAUUCAGUGAACCAUCGAAUCUUUGAACGCACAUUGCGCCCCCUGGUAUUCCGGGGGGCAUGCCUGUCCGAGCGUCAUUGCUGCCCUCAAGCACGGCUUGUGUGUUGGGCCUCCGUCCUCCUCCCGGGGGACGGGCCCGAAAGGCAGCGGCGGCACCGCGUCCGGUCCUCGAGCGUAUGGGGCUUCGUCACCCGCUCUUGUAGGCCCGGCCGGCGCUUGCCGACACAUCAAUCUUUUUUCCAGGUUGACCUCGGAUCAGGUAGGGAUACCCGCUGAACUUAAGCAUAUCAAUAAGCGGAGGA
rnacentral:misc_RNA from 1 species